rnacentral:piRNA from 1 species
UAUAAAAUGGGCAAUUUUAGCCAUUGGUGG